UCCUGGAUGAGAGUGAUCUAAUCAAAGCACUUUAAAAGAGGAGAAGUAAAUUCUAGAAGGCAUCAGAAACUCUCUCCUGCUGGUCUAAAAUAAACAACACACCAUGAGUACUAUGGCUACGAGGGAAUGAAUUCUGCCAACAACCUGUCAUAUUUUAUGAAGAUGAAUUACACAUUUGUAUUUUGAUGAAUGAGUCCCAGGCCUUCCUUCAAAAAGCAGCAUGACUUGGUGGGCCAAAAUGGAGGCCGUUUGUUCAAAGGCAGCUUAAAAACAGAGUUGGUAUUCUUUGAAAGCUUGCCCUUUGCAUGUGGACAUGUCCUAAAGUUGAGAAAUUUCAGGAAGUGGAGGAGGAAAAACAACAGACUGAAGAUCAAUCUCAGAAACAAUGGCCUGCAGAGCUGUAGAACUUCACAAUGUCACUUAUGACAAGGCAAUAAAGAAGAUAAUUAAAAUAUUUGUAAAGUAUUAUGGUGAAAUAGAUAUAUACACAAAGAAUGAUAUUUAAUUACAUCCUGAAAGUUUAAUACUGGGUGCCCUGAAAGUUUUAAAACAGUUGUAAGCUUCAAUAAUUUCAGAAGUG